CAUGCAAGUCGAGCGUUCCGGCAGCCAACUUAAGUUGGGAGCCGGAUAGCGGCGGACGGGUGAGUAACGCGUGGGCAACCUACCCUUAAGACCGGGAUAACACCUCGAAAGGGGUGCUAAUACUGGAUAAGGUCAUAAGGUGGCAUCACCUUAUGAAGAAAGGGGGAACCCGCUUAAGGAUGGGCCCGCGUCCCAUCAGCUAGUUGGUGAGGUAACGGCUCACCAAGGCGACGACGGGUAGCCGGCCUGAGAGGGUGGUCGGCCACACUGGGACUGAGACACGGCCCAGACUCCUACGGGAGGCAGCAGUGGGGAAUCUUGCGCAAUGGGCGAAAGCCUGACGCAGCGACGCCGCGUGAGCGAGGAAGGCCUUCGGGUCGUAAAGCUCAAUAGUGUGGGAAGAAGUGAUGACGGUACCACACGAAAG
rnacentral:rRNA from 1 species